GACGAACGCUGGCGGCGUGCUUAACACAUGCAAGUCGAACGGUAAGGCCCUUCGGGGUACACGAGUGGCGAACGGGUGAGUAACACGUGGGUGAUCUGCCCUGCACUUCGGGAUAAGCCUGGGAAACUGGGUCGCAUACCGGCCAGGCCCACUGCCUGCAUGGGUGGUCGUGGAAAGCUUUUGCGGUGUGGGAUGGGCCCGCGGCCUAUCCGCUUGUUGGUGGGGUGAUGGCCCACCGAGGCGACGACGGGUAGCCGGCCUGGCAGGGGGUGACCGGCCACACUGGGACUGAGAUACGGCCCAGACUCCUACGGGAGGCAGCAGUGGGGAAUAUUGCACAGUGGGCGCAAGCCUGAUGCAGCGACGCCGCGUGAGGGAUGACGGCCUUCGGGUUGUAAACCUCUUUCAGCACCGCCGAAGCGCAAGUGACGGUAGGUGCAGAAGAAGGACCGGCCAACUACGUGCCAGCAGCCGCCGUAA
rnacentral:rRNA from 1 species